AUAGCACAAAAAAGCUUGAUCAAAUAGAGAACAAGAUGCAAAUGGGGAGUUUCUUGAGGAUUGCAGCUUUCUAUGCUUUGCUUGUAGUUUUUAUUGUGCUAUCAAUGAAUUCAUGGUCUCUCAUGGUAGAAGCAAGAAUUCCCGACUUCUCAGCUAUUCAAGAGAAUCUCCUGCGCCGAAGUACCAAGGAAGCUACUCCAACUGUGGGAUCUCCGGCCGCAAAUACUGAAAAAAUUGUUCAUUGAUGACCAUCUUUCUGCAUGAACUUCUGGCUCUUGCUCAUUCUUCCAAAAUAAAUGGUUAAAAAGAGAGAAGGAAAAAUGAAAAUAUGUAGAUGUUGUAUACAAAGACAAAUUAUGAAUAAGCUAGGAAGUUUAUAAUUUUUCUGUUUGUAUGAUAUUAAUUCAAGAAUCCCA